UGGGGAAUUUUGGACAAUGGGCGAAAGCCUGAUCCAGCAAUGCCGCGUGUGUGAAGAAGGCCUUCGGGUUGUAAAGCACUUUUGUCCGGAAAGAAAUCCUUGGCUCUAAUACAGUCGGGGGAUGACGGUACCGGAAGAAUAAGCACCGGCUAACUACGUGCCAGCAGCCGCGGUAAUACGUAGGGUGCAAGCGUUAAUCGGAAUUACUGGGCGUAAAGCGUGCGCAGGCGGUUUGCUAAGACCGAUGUGAAAUCCCCGGGCUAACCUGGGAACUGCAUUGGUGACUGGCAGGCUAGAGUAUGGCAGAGGGGGGUAGAAUUCCACGUGUAGCAGUGAAAUGCGUAGAGAUGUGGAGGAAUACCGAUGGCGAAGGCAGCCCCCUGGGCCAAUACUGACGCUCAUGCACGAAAGCGUGGGGAGCAAACAGGAUUAGAUACCCUGGUAGUCCACGCCCUAAACGAUGUCAACUAGUUGUUGGGGAUUCAUUUCCUUAGUAACGUAGCUAACGCGUGAAGUUGACCGCCUGGGGAGUACGUCGCAAGAUUAAAACUUAAAUGAA
rnacentral:rRNA from 1 species